CAGAAACAUAGAAAUUUAUUUUUUAGGAAGCCAGAAACACAACGAAAGGUGGCUUACUAAUUGGGCUGGAACUCUUCUUAUUGAUGAAUAGGUGUUCAUCUCUUCAAGUCGUGUACCCACCUACAGCUCAAUUUCUUUGCAAACAAAAGCAAAUAGAUAUAAUGUGUUCUCGACCACGGCCUCAUCGUUUGUUUCAUUCACAACUCUGUUAUCUUGAAGAGAACCGCCUGGUGUUUCAGUUGGACAGAUUCAUGCUCCUUUCAUCUAAAGAAUUUGAAGCGAACUCUUAUCUCAGUGGUAAUCUCUAUGGAAGGUUUAUAUACUCUUAUGAACUAUUUUUUGUUGUGGAAAUCCUUUGAAGAAAGGAGAUUUGGUGGUGCACCUUCAGCCUAAAGAUGGCCCUGUCCUGUUGGAUCAGGCUGCCUGCCAAUGAGUUUUAUAACAGCCUACAAACUCCAACCGUUAGCUUAGUCACAACAGUCAACACAAAACGUAUAGGAGGUACCUUUUUACUCACUUUGUAACUCAUGGUUAUCCUGCACGAUUACUCACUUAUUAGUUUGUGAAGUAUAUAACUUUAGAUUCCACUUCUUCCGGCCAGUACUUAAUUGAGUAUCUAUCCUGGUCUGUAUUCCUUGCUCAUUUUAAUUUAUAGUUGGGAACUCUAUCAGGCUCAAAAAUAUGUUUUAAGUCGGCUCAAAACCAAGAUGUUGCUGUUAUGGUCAAUGCGUCUGAGGUGACAAAGGCCGAGACGCUAACCAUUCGUGACAAAUUUGCCUUCUUGAAACCGGAACCAGCUCAGGUAAUUAGUAAUUAGUUUUAAUACAAUACUAAGUACGUAUAAUG